GGCGGUUCUCGGGUGACGCACCCUGGAAUCGGGCUCCUUUCGGGUGCGUCACCCAAGAACUGCA
rfam:Myotis brandtii contig225895, whole genome shotgun sequence.